GACGAACGCUGGCGGCGUGCCUAAUACAUGCAAGUCGAACGCAGUGGGGACGGGUGCGUAACACGUGGGUAACCUCCCAUCAGAGGGGAUAACACUUGGAAACAGGUGCUAAACCGAUACGGAUGGAUCAACCUGCGGUGGAUUAGCUAGUUGGUGAGGUAACGGUUCACCAGGGCCACGAUGCAUAGCCGGCCGUCGAGGGUGAUCCGACAACCGGGAACGGAGAUACGGUCCAGACGCCGACGGAGGGCAGCAGUAGGGAAUCUUGGGCAAUGGACGAAAGCCCGACCGGGCAACGCCGCGUGAGUUAAGAAGGUUUUCGGAUCUUAAAACGCUUUUGUUGGGGAAGCGGUAUCUAACCAGAAAGCCACGGCUAACUACGUGCCAGCAGCCGCGGUAAUUC
rnacentral:rRNA from 1 species